rnacentral:rRNA from 1 species
GAUGAACGCUGGCGGCGUGCCUAAUACAUGCAAGUCGAGCGAACGGACGAGAAGCUUGCUUCUCUGAUGUUAGCGGCGGACGGGUGAGUAACACGUGGAUAACCUACCUAUAAGACUGGGAUAACUUCGGGAAACCGGAGCUAAUACCGGAUAAUAUUUUGAACCGCAUGGUUCAAAAGUGAAAGACGGUCUUGCUGUCACUUAUAGAUGGAUCCGCGCUGCAUUAGCUAGUUGGUAAGGUAACGGCUUACCAAGGCAACGAUGCAUAGCCGACCUGAGAGGGUGGUCGGCCACACUGGAACUGAGACACCGUCCAGACUCCUACGGGAGGCAGCAGUAGGGAAUCUUCCGCAAUGGGCGAAAGCCUGACGGAGCAACGCCGCGUGAGUGAUGAAGGUCUUCGGAUCGUAAAACUCUGUUAUUAGGGAAGAACAUAUGUGUAAGUAACUGUGCACAUCUUGACGGUACCUAAUCAGAAAGCCACGGCUAACUACGUG